UGGGGAAUUUUGGACAAUGGGCGAAAGCCUGAUCCAGCAAUGCCGCGUGUGUGAAGAAGGCCUUCGGGUUGUAAAGCACUUUUGUCCGGAAAGAAAUCCUUGGCUCUAAUACAGUCGGGGGAUGACGGUACCGGAAGAAUAAGCACCGGCUAACUACGUGCCAGCAGCCGCGGUAAUACGUAGGGUGCAAGCGUUAAUCGGAAUUACUGGGCGUAAAGCGUGCGCAGGCGGUUUGCUAAGACCGAUGUGAAAUCCCCGGGCUCAACCUGGGAACUGCAUUGGUGACUGGCAGGCUAGAGUAUGGCAGAGGGGGGUAGAAUUCCACGUGUAGCAGUGAAAUGCGUAGAGAUGUGGAGGAAUACCGAUGGCGAAGGCAGCCCCCUGGGCCAAUACUGACGCUCAUGCACGAAAGCGUGGGGAGCAAACAGGAUUAGAUACCCCUGGUAGUCCACGCCCUAAAACGAUGUCAACUAGUUGUUGGGGAUUCAUUCCUUAGUAACGUAGCUAACGCGUGAAGUUGACCGCCUGGGGAGUACGGUCGCAAGAUUAAAACUUAAAUGAAUUGAC
rnacentral:rRNA from 1 species